CUUUAAUUAAUGCAAACACUUGAAUGGUAAAUAUGUGGUUAGUAUAUACGGGGUCGCUGUGUCACCACGCAGGGCAAACAGAGAACUGAGUUACACAUCCUUUGCUUUUCAUUAAAUACUCUGACAGAGAUAGUUCCCGCUCACUGCUGGCCUGUCAGAGGGAGGAUGAGCGUGGUUUAAACUUACUCAUCCUAUCGUUGGCGUGCAGGUUGGUCCCAACUUCGAGACGCCUCCUGUUGCCGGGCGUAGUUAUUAUCUUUGGCAGUCGAUUUAUCUUGUGACUGCACAAUGCACAGUUCUCUAAAACCCCGACACCCCUCUGCAUAUACAUUUCACCCAUAUCCUGCCCUUAUCUUUUAACAAGCUCUUCCAUAUCCCUGAUUUACAGCAUCUGCAUUCUUUCCAUAUGACUCAACAUCCCAUGAGCCCCUUCCUCUCACACAGCAGUAUGCUCUUAUCAUAUAGAGUAUAAACUUAAUAUUAUAGCAUAGCUUCUUUGUUAUAUUAUAUAGGUUAUGCAAACAAAUAGUUGGUCAAACCCUAACAAUCCCCCUUUUCACACCUGAUAGGUGUGAAUACAUAAUUUCUUAAAAUUUCAGGGAAAUUUUGAGAUUCCCCCUUUUGACACCCCCUAGGGUGUCACUCAACACAAUUAUAAAUUCACAUUUUAAUGAUUAAAUGAUUAGUUUAAAAAACCCUCAAGUCCUUCCGGCUACACCUCACUUGUACUAGGUUGACUACCAGCCACCCAGGAACUUCAAACCUUCACAUAAGGAAAGACAAAUAGUACACAGGAUUCAUUCAGAACAUACUAAUUAAAAAACUUAGAAAAAUAAGACCUUCCUGCGACAGUGGCUACACCUAACAUGUAUGGGACAGACUUUUUGUCCCAGUACUUAAAACCUUCACAUCCACCUGCCACUACAUUACAUAUGAGUACAUUUUAGAUAAGGUUUAUUCGACCACUUCCUCAACAGUAAACCAAGGAUCAUCCUCAGACAGACCCGUCUUUUGCCCAGAGGUUGAUUCAGUAUCCACUGGGGUCACUUCCAUCAAAGACAUCAUUCCGGUUGCUCUGACAACUUCUGUAAGAUAUACAGGCAACACAACACAACAAUAAUAAGAACACAAGCACUAGGGAUUAUACAGGCAACACAACACAACAAUAAUAAGAACACAAGCACUAGGGUCAGAAAUCCAGUAACCACCAUAGAUGUGUACUUACCAAAAAAGGUAUUCAGCCAAUUCUCCUCGUAUACCCCCGCUACACCCUUCAUUUCAGCAGAUAGCUUGUCAAGUCCCAGUAGGGCUUUGGUAAUGCUACCAUAGGGCUGGUGUUAUUAGGGAUAAAAGUACAGCAUUGUUCACCAAACGUUUUAUACACCCCCCAUUAUUAGCCAAUAUCAUAUCCAACUCCAAUCUAUUUUGUCUAGCGGUUCUAGUGGUAGCCUCUAGUUGCUCAGCCAUACCUGUCAGUGCAGUGCGAGUAUAGUUAACAAAUCUCUGUUACACACACAUCAGUAAAGAACUCAACCCAGCUUUAGGCGGCUGUAUUUUUCCCACAGUACACAUACAUUCCUUAACAACCUUGCCACCUGUCUUCUAAUCUCCUGCCCACUAGCCGUUCCCAGGCCGUUGUUACUCUCCCUA
rnacentral:lncRNA from 1 species